rfam:Moraxella atlantae strain CCTG 59586 contig_34, whole genome shotgun sequence.
AUUCACCGCCACGUAGGCGGCUUAGAAA